GACGAACGCUGGCGGCGUGCUUAACACAUGCAAGUCGAACGAUGAACCGGAGCUUGCUCUGGGGAUUAGUGGCGAACGGGUGAGUAACACGUGGGCAACCUGCCCCAGACACCGGGAUAACCAUUGGAAACGAUGGCUAAUACCGGAUACGACCACUUCGGGCAUCCGAUGGUGGUGGAAAGGAUUCUGGUCUGGGAUGGGCCCGCGGCCUAUCAGCUUGUUGGUGGGGUAAUGGCCUACCAAGGCGACGACGGGUAGCCGGCCUGAGAGGGCGUCCGGCCACACUGGGACUGAGACACGGCCCAGACUCCUACGGGAGGCAGCAGUGGGGAAUAUUGCGCAAUGGGCGAAAGCCUGACGCAGCGACGCCGCGUGAGGGACGAAGGUCUUCGGAUUGUAAACCUCUUUCAGCAGGGAUGAAGCGAAAGUGACAGUACCUGCAGAAGAAGCACCGGCUAACUACGUGCCAGCAGCCGCCGCCGUAA
rnacentral:rRNA from 1 species